rnacentral:rRNA from 1 species
CGCCUAACACAUGCAAGUCGAACGCAGUAGCAAUACUGAGUGGCAAACGGGUGAGUAUAAUGUGGGAAUCUACCUUUUGGUUCGGAAUAACACGGGGAAACUUGUGCUAAUACCGGAUAAGCCUUUACAGGGAAAGUUUUAAUGCCAAAAGAUGAGCCCGCACUUGAUUAGCUAGUUGGUGAGGUAAUUGCUCACCAAGGCAACGAUCAAUAGCUGUUCUUAGAGGAAGACCAGCCACAUUGGGACUGAGACACGGCCCAGACUCCUACGGGAGGCAGCAGUGGGGAAUCUUGCACAAUGGGGGAAACCCUGAUGCAGCGAUGCCGCGUGAGUGAAGAAGGCCCUUGGGUUGUAAAACUCUUUCGUCGGGGAAGAAAAUGACUGUACCCGAAUAAGAAGGUCCGGCUAACUUCGUGCCAGCAGCCGCGGUAAUACGAAGGGACCUAGCGUAGUUCGGAAUUACUGGGCUUAAAGAGCUCGUAGGUGGUUAAAAAAGUUGAUUGUGAAAUCCCAAGGCUUAACCUUGGAACUGCAAUCAAAACUUUUUAGCUAGAGUGUGAUAGAGGAAAGUGGAAUUUCUAGUGUAGAGGUGAAAUUCGUAGAUAUUAGAAAGAACACCAAAUGCGAAGGCAACUUUCUGGAUCAUUACUGACACUGAGGAGCGAAAGCAUGGGUAGCGAAGAGGAUUAGAUACCCUCGUAGUCCAUGCUGUAAACGAUGUGUGCUAGACGUUGGAAGCAUAGCUUUCAGUGUCGCAGCGAAAGCAUUAAGCACACCGCCUGGGGAGUACGA